UACGUAGGGUGCGAGCGUUGUCCGGAAUUAUUGGGCGUAAAGAGCUCGUAGGCGGUUUGUCGCGUCGGCCGUGAAAUCUCCACGCUUAACGUGGAGCGUGCGGUCGAUACGGGCAGACUUGAGUUCGGUAGGGGAGACUGGAAUUCCUGGUGUAGCGGUGAAAUGCGCAGAUAUCAGGAGGAACACCGGUGGCGAAGGCGGGUCUCUGGGCCGAUACUGACGCUGAGGAACGAAAGCGUGGGGAGCGAACAGG
rnacentral:rRNA from 1 species